GAGCGGGGAGCGAACGCUGAUACGCAGAGGCAGUGUUCUUCGUGGAGCUAAAGAUGAAGCCUUUGAACGAGUUUGGUGUAAACUUGUGAACCAGCCAAGCUCGUAUCUGCAGGAAAGUUUCUGAUGAGACGAGACCUGGUCAGGACCUGAACCGGGUUGGUUUUGGAGCUGAACGCUGGUCUCGCCUGACGUGCGUCUGCUCCGGACAUCGUGGAGGCUUUAGA